CCACUUCCUAGGGGCUCAGGGCAUAGGCAGGUAAGCAGUCACUCCAUCUAUCUCUUCUUUCCUUGCUUUCUGCCAGGUUCUGUCCAAACAUCCUUUCAGGCAAAGGGGGAUGGGAAGCCCCAGACAGAUGAGCUCAUUGGAAGGAGGAGGGCAGAGGGAGGAGGGAGCGAACCACCCCGGGCAUGUCUCUGCUGGCCGGACAGUCCCAAGCUGGAGAGGGGUGUGUGCCCACUUCUAGAAGCAGCUCAGAAAUGGGAGACUUUCUUUCCAGCAGCUGCCUGGUCCUCCAAUCCUUUGCCUUCGAGACCAAUCCAACACCCACCACCGCUGCAUGUGAGACUUGUUCUGGAGAGUUCUCUGGAGUGUAACGCUUCUUUGGGUUACAGUCUUGGCUGCUAGCCUUUCAGCUUGGUCAGAGAGAAGAAAGAACUUUCUAAAGUCUGGCCUGCCACAACUCCAGACAGGAAAGUGAGAUGCAAAGAAGUAAGAGAAAGCUGCUCACCUCCACCAGCCCCAGAACUCCUGACAUGGAUGCUUACAAAACACGGACGAGAUGAUCCGGACACCCACACAUCUCCGUGGACUUUGUGAUAGAAGCUGAAGACAGUUUCCCAGUCAGAGCUCAGGAGAGCAAGCCCCCUGCCUGGCUGCUAAUCCCGACACUUCAAGCAAAUGCAAAGAAGCAACGUAUGGUCCCCCAGAGUAGAAUGCUCAAAGAAUUGUCCCAAUACAGAAAGACACCUGUACCAUUCUUUUGCCUAGCUCAUCUGUCUAGACUACAGGAAAUGCCUCUCACGUCCAUCUUUACUACCCCGUAGGGCAGAAGACAGUAGAAGCUAACUGAGAGAACUCCAUGUCGCCCAUCAGCCCUCAGCCAGUUAAGCACUGGUACCAUUACGGUCAUGUUUCCUCUCCACCAUGAAGCAAGGUUGGAUAAUCUGCCCUGCUGAUGACACACAGCCAAAUAGCUAAGCUAAGAGAAGACCCAGUGAUGACUCCUUCCGAAGCUCUUGCAAUACUACCUUGAAGACUCAAUGACUGAUUCUCCCACACCCAGGCCGUCCUGACACCAUUAGCCAGAGGCUUGACUACACAGUCAGGCCACCUCCUUACCUCAGCAUAUUUCCCGUUUGAGAGUAUCCAGUCUACUUUGACCACAUGUUUCUCUUCUGUGCUCUGGACAACACAUCCCAUGAAAGCUGAAUCACCCACAUGCACGGUCAGCUCAGGGGAGACAGUCAUGUCAGCCAGGCCCCAAGGAUCACCUACAGGGGUUGAAGGAUAGAAGACGUUACUUAGACAAGUAACUUCAACAAGAAAACUCAGCAUCAAUCUCUAGAGACCAUGCAUUUCCCCUCCAUCCACGAUCCAGCAUGAUCUAAGCACUUAGAGGCCCCUCACUCAAACCAGCAUGGCAAAGGAGAGCAAUCCUCUGCUUUUCUACAUGAUUCAAGUCUGAAGGAUUCUGCAACCUUCAAACCGCAAGAAGAGUUAGCUAGCUGGUUCCCUUGGCCUCGCUGGUCCCUUCCUCUUUUCUAGAAUUCCUCUGCCUUACCUUUCUAAUGAAAGGAAAUCCUGAAAUCCACAUCCACUCACUCACUUCUCUUAGCUCUGCGUACAGUGUUCUUAACAGUGAACUAAACAGGAAGUGGGCUCAUCCUCGCUGCCCGUGAGCUUGCGGGUUCCCUGUCUGAAUGAUCUGAAUGAUCAGUUGCUUUCUUCCUCUUUUCCCUUUAUUUAAUCCCUCACAAAAAGUUUAUCGCUGCAUUUGCUGGCUGAGUCUCUCCAGUUAAGUAGGCCAGAGCGGAGCACAGCUUUCUCUUCAAUUCCCUUUGUGUCUGCCCUCUCCCAGCCUCACCCUCCCGAGUCCCCAUCAACUCUGGCUUUUAGGAGGCCUCUGCAGGCAUAGGUUCCCCCCACUCCCUCAUCGGCCUGUCACUCACAGGAUUUCACUAAAAGAGAAAACUAUGGCAAGGACAUUUCUGUUUCCACAAGAUAUCCUCUGGCACAAAGACAACAAAAUCAAGAGACAAAUUUAGAUGCUGCCCAGUUCAUAUCGAAGAAGAGCCAAGUGAACACAUAUGGGAGUGAGCAGGAAAGGUGCCAGCCUUUUCAUCCAAGCUGUCUCCUGAGAGAAGAGAGAACUUCCUGCCCAGCAGCAGGCUCACACAGUAGGGAGCAUGGAAAAGAACACAGGAACUCUCAACCCUUUGGACAGAGGUCUGUUUCCACGGAAUAAGGAACAGGAUAGAGGCAGAAAAGAGAAAGAGAAAGGAAGGAAGUGGAGAGGAGCAGCAGGAAGCUGCCCUGGACACCCGGGCAAGGUCUGAACAGGAGAUUCCCACCCAGUCUACUGAGGCCAAAGCAGGCUUCCCAGAAGGAAGUAAAACCCGGGGGAAGCUUGUGGAAUCCGGAAGGCUUGAGCAAGCUUUUUGGGGUGAGGUGCUGGGGGGAGGGGUAAAAAUGGGAGGAACCCAGAGUUCCAGGCAGAGAAAAAACUUCAAUUAGGAAAGAGUUCCCUGUGUUUAGAAACCACAAAAGUAUCUGCCUGACUGAGGCAUAAAAGGUUCCUCCAUUUCCCUUCCUAUCUGAGACUAGCUGUAAUUGACCAACCCCAGUGUCAAGCAUAGGGAUGCCAAGAGAAACUUCCCUCCACACAAUUAUGUUCUAGAACACCCAGGAAGGACCCAAAGACAUUCUGUGCCCAGUAGAAACAGAAGGCAGCAAGAAGAACCAACUACCUGCUCCUGAAACAACCAGAACCGAGAAGUUCCAGCCCAGCGUUUCCAUAUCUCACAAACCAAAGGGAAUGAAACAUACAUAAAAAUGGACUUUUAAAAACACGAGACCAGGGCUAGCAAAACGGCUCAGUGGGUAAAGGCACUUGCCACCAAGGCCGAAGACCUGAGUUCAAGUCUAGGAAACCACAUGGAGGAAAGAACGGGCCACCUUCUGCAAUUUGUCUCUGACAUACCCAUGCCCUGUUCCCCCACAACACAAAAUAAAUAAUGUCCAAAUAAUUGUGGGUACAAGCCUUCAGAUACCGGCCUCAGUCUCUCGUUUCCACUUACCCAGAAUCACUGGAAUCACAAUCAGUUUCAGGAGGCAAAGCAUACUGCUUUCAAGUUUUUGAUCUUAAGAUAAAAGGAAAACCAGAAAAUUAUGAACAGAGAACAUUGUUAGCGGAACAAACCAACAGUGAGCCCCAGUGUGGGCCAGCGCCAGUGUGGACCAGCGCCACUGUGGGCCACGUUCUGUCUGAGGCACCGGCACAGCACUGAACAUGGGAGGCAGAGCUCUGGCGCAGCCACACUUGACAUAUGAGGAACAGCGGGCAGAAGGAAGCGAAGGAAACGCAGGAGUUUGUAUGAACAAGACAGCAUCAGGAUGCUGAGAGGGGAUAAGGUGAAACAAAACCAAGUGAUGUUUGGAGAGACCCUUGGGGUCUGCUUCAUGCCGGCCAGAAGGGAAGGUCAGAUGAAAGUCACUUUUCCAAACAAAAAGGGCCAAUGAGUCCUUGCGGAGCCCUUGAGACAACUACCCUAGAUAUUCUACAACCUGGACGCUUCACAUAAACCAAACACUACAGGGAUCCGCAGCCUCAACUUUUUACCUGUCCCUCCAGCUCAAUGGGAAUGGCUGCCUUGAUGAAGGCAAAGGACGUUCAGUCCAUGUGGGAGAAGAAAUAUACAAAGAACGGAAACUGAUUGAUCAGUGAUUUGCAUUUGGACAUUACACAUGCCCAGCAAUCGCUCCGCUAACAGAGUCAUAGCCUCAGUUCACAAAGGGGAAAUGUUAAGCCUAAAGGUUAACAUUUAACAUAAUAAAGGUUAACAUAAUAAAUGUUAAUACUAAAGGUAUUAGUUAUCAAAUUUAACAUACAAAGACACCACAGGAAAUACUUUUUUUUUCAACCUUUAAAGGCAGGACAGUGUGGUUAGAAUUAAGAAUUGAGCUGAACAUGUAAAACCAUUUCUAGUGUCUUUGUUCAAUGUCUGUGCUAUUAAUUUCCCAACACCCUCCAGCUCUUGGAAAAUGACUCACUAUUCUAUACCAAAUCCCCCCCAAAUGUUCUUAACCAAAGUGAAGAACCCUAACACUAAGAACUUACAACUCAGUCCAUCAUGGGGAGCAGACCAUCUCCCAUUACUAUAACCAUUUCAGCUGUGACCCCCAACACCUGAUGGCUCGGCAACUAGAACCAUUCUACCUCAGAACCGCUAAGAAAUGUCCCUUAUUGCAUUAAUAGCAAGGGCUCAGGCUAGCUCGCUGGGAUAUCUGGCACUGGCCAUUUCCUUUCUAAAAUGCAGUUGCCUGGAACUGGAGAUAUGGCGCAGCAGCUGAGGAGCAUGUACUGUUCUUGCAGAGGAUGAGUUUGCUUCUCAAUCCCACUUCUAGUGGCUCACGGCUGCCUGUAACUCUAGCUCCAGGGACAUCUGGUGCCUUUGACCUCCAAGAGUACCUGCACUCAUGUGCAUAUUCCCACCCACAAACAUACACACAUAUACAGAAUUCUAAAGAUAAAAUUAGAAAUACAUAUUUUUAGGUGGCUGCCCAAAAAGAUGCCUUACCUGUAUUCCAGUCAACAAAAUCCACUUGGAAAAUGGAAACUACUCAAGGAGGUUCCUUCCCUGGGUCUUCCUCGACUCACUAUACCUUAGCUAUACCUACAACACAGGAUGACAAAGCAAGAAUCAGAUAUGAUCAAAUAGAUAACAGUGUUUUCAAAAAGAGGAAACAUUGCUAGACAGGAUCCCAUUUUCUAGAACCUAAGAGCCAGACAGAGAGCAACCUGUGACUUUAGAGACGUCAGGCUCUGAGUUUCUGCCUUUAUAGGAACAGUAAGCUAUCAAUCAAAAUGAACUAGAAGCUUUGACUACCACUGUUACUAUGUAGACAAUAAUUACACUGUUCCAUCUGAAUCAGGAGUCGAACAGAAAAUACAGAUCUGCUCUAUGCCGACCACCUCCCCCAACACAAACACAGUUGGUGGCCGUAACAGGCUUCUCUUAGAGCAUGACUUUAGCUCAUCACAUUCAGACAUCCAAGAUCCAUGUCACCUUCUCAAGGAGCUACUGAGUUUGUUUCUCUGCUCAGCGAAGAGUUCUCAGCUCUCACAGGAUUCCCCGAAGAGAGAACAGCAGACAGAGGAGUAAUGGCUAAUUUGCAUGUCUGUCGCCAAUGCCUAUCGAAGUCUGCAGUCCCAAGGACAAGACCACGUACGUCUUGCUUGUAUUUGUGCUCCACCAAUCCUUGUUCUACAGGAUCUAUAGAUUGCUGGGAGCGUGCCAGAUAAAUGCUUGUCACCAACAAUGUGACCAUUACCUUGAAAUCAGCUUCGAGGCUUCCUGCAACCCCUUGACACUAUUCUGUGAGGAAACGAGCAACUUGAAAAGGACUGACUGACUCGCACAGAGCCACACCCAGCCUCCCUCAAACCAAUUCUAGGAAAUGUAUACUGUGAUGGAUAAAAAAAAAAAUACCCACUUUCAGUCUUAAAUACUCAAAUACACUGAUGGAGUUCUGUGUGAACUGGAGAGAAAAAAAAACAAUAUUUUUAGCAGAAAGAGCAUUGAAUUUUUUUUUUAAGUUAUUUUCCAGGCUCAACGUCUGGAACUCAGCUUUAACACUAUAGCCUCAGACUUUUUUUUUCUUUUUUCUAGUUGAUAGGCAACUACACCAAAAAUUAAGAAUUGAUAUGCAAUAAACAGAAAAAGCAGUAAUGCCAGGGAUUGUCUGGGCCAUUUACAUUCUAACUCACUCAAUCUUCACCACAACCAUGAGACUCUUUGCAGAUGGGGAAACUGAGGCACAGGCCAGUGGUAUGUUUUGCCUAAGAACACAUAGCAGAUUGGCACAGUCUGACAGGCAUUCUGGAUCUUUCAGCCCCAGCCUGUAUCAUCACGUUGAGGUGUUUCUCCACAUCUGUCAAAGUAGCUGAUGUUUUAGUGUGUUUACUCCCUGAGUUUUAUCUGAAGAAACAAUAUUAAUCCCCCUACACACACACACACACACACACACACACACACACACACACUGGUUGUUCUUCCAAACUUCAUUGCACAUACUUUCGCAUACAUGGCACAUGCCCUUUACUCCUGUUGAUCCAUUUUUCAGAUGGCAAGUUAAAUGUCAUUUCCUCAGGGAAACCGCUCCUCAACCACCCAUCCUAGGCCAGACCACCCAGCUGCCCCUUCAUGGUGCUCUGUAUCUUUCUUUCAGGGCAUUUGUCACAAGCGGUCAUCAUCUAUUUGCUAUGGUGCUCAUCUAAUUAAAUCCUUGUUCCUGGUCUCACUCCCCAAGACUCUCAGAUCCAAGAGGCUGAGAGGGCACCCAUGAAUUUCUCUACAGCUCCAGCACCGGCAUGGUGUAGGGCGCAGGAAAUCCUCAGUUUACAGCUUCUCAAACAAGCUAAUGACACCUUGGGAACUUACCAAAAAUCCUCUGGUUAAGUUUCAAUUUCCUGAGUAGGUGGCAAACAUUCAGAAAUUCUUUUUUAUACACACACAUCAUCAUCAUCAUCAUCACCACCACCACCACCACCACACAUCACUUAGUGAGGGGGAAUUAUCAUCAGGAAAUUCCAUUGUCUGAGCAUCCCAGAGUGCACUUACACAAACUGAGAUGGCUAUAAUGCCUCUAGGCUGUAUGAUCUUAUAAGACCACUGUCUAUGCAUUAUCAACUAAAAUGUUAUUUAGUACAUGACACAUACUUAUCUAUACAUACACAUAUAUUUUGAAACAUAUACGAUAACCCCAAUUCUGAAUUCUAAACACACAGAUCUUGAUUUUUAAAAUCCCAGCCAGCUGGCACAUUCAGAAGCAUCUUGCCAAUGGGUCUUGUUUUUAAACUCUCCUCUCUACCCUGUUCCCUUCCACACACUGGCAUAGCUCAGCUGUAGGUUGCAGGUUAAUACCACACAGCCAGUUAUUUCAUGUGCUGGCCGAGCUUUCUUACCCGAGCUCAUGGCUUCCUCACGAUAACUCCUGGCAAAUAUCUCCUAUGAGUCCUAGGGUGUGUGUGACCACCAGGGUUACAAUAUUUAUUCAUAUAUUAUUACAAUAUUGCAAGGCAGUGGAAGAACAGGGUCUUGCUGUCUCCUGGCCAGUUCGCCCCCGGCGCGGCCCCCCCCCCCCCCCCGGUAAUAACAAAGACCGCAGAAACACAGACAGCUGGACAGCCUUCCCGCUCUGCCUCACUCCACUGUGAGGCUAAGUUCUGCUCCUGUGCACCUUUGUACUCUCAGAAAUGUGUACAUAUCCAAGUCCUCAUGACCACUCGGCGACACAAACCUCUUAAAAUAUGCCCUUGCUUUUCCUUCUGAGACCAUGAAAUACAAAUGGGGGCAGGGGAUUGUGCUUCUGAAGCACAACCUAGAUUACAUGCUACUCAGAUGGGACCUUGGGAACCAUCUCCUGAUCCCUCCAGACGAGCAGGUAGCUAGUUCUAAUUCAGCUUACGUCUGUCUUUCUGGAGGUCUGGGCUAAGCCAGGGUAGUCCAGCUCUCUUGGGAGACUUGGACUUGUUACCUCGGUGACAUGUUGAUUUAUCCAGAACAGAGAGAAGACAAACGGAGGGAGGAGGGCUGCCAUGAGCUCCAGGACGGCCAGUCGUAACUCUGCCUAAAGCCAUAGGCAGCAGGAGAGCCCAUGGAUGAAGCCCAUGGAUGACCUUAGUCACGCUUAUUACGGCAAAGCUGACUUCUCUUUUCUCUGAGAACCUUGACGUAAAGUACACUACUAAAACUAAAGUUGCACCUACUUGUCUACCUCAUGGCAGCCCCCGCUGUGGAGAACGGGAGCUCUGUGCAUGGCCUCCUCAGCCUACAGCAGCUGGACCAGCUUUCCUCUGAAUGAAAACUAGCCACCUUCUCAGAACAGUUCAAUGGCUCACAGCACACCAAAGUCACUGCUUACC